rnacentral:rRNA from 1 species
UACGAGGGGGGCGAGCGUUGUUCGGAAUUAUUGGGCGUAAAGGGUGCGUAGGCGGUUUGGUAAGUCUUAUGUGAAAUCUACAGGCUCAACUUGUAGUCUGCAUGAGAAACUGCCGGGCUUGAGUAUGGGAGAGGUGAGUGGAAUUCCUGGUGUAGCGGUGAAAUGCGUAGAUAUCAGGAGGAACACCUGCGGUGUAGACGGCUUUCUGGACCAUUGCUGACGCUGAGACACGAAAGCGUGGGUAGCAAACAGG